UACGGGGGGGGCAAGCGUUGUUCGGAAUUACUGGGCGUAAAGGGCUCGUAGGCGGCCAACUAAGUCAGACGUGAAAUCCCCAGGCUCAACCUGGGAACUGCGUCUGAUACUGGAUGGCUUGAAUCCGGGAGAGGGAUGCAGAAUUCCAGGUGUAGCGGUGAAAUGCGUAGAUAUCUGGAGGAACACCGGUGGCGAAGGCGGCAUCCUGGACCGACACUGACGCUGAGGCGCGAAAGCUAGGGGAGCAAACGGG
rnacentral:rRNA from 1 species